rnacentral:piRNA from 1 species
UUGUGACAUUUGCUCUGCUACCU